rnacentral:rRNA from 1 species
CAUAUCAUAAGCGGAGGAAAAGAAACCAACAGGGAUUGCCCCAGUAACGGCGAGUGAAGCGGCAACAGCUCAAAUUUGAAAUCUGGCCCCCCGGCCCGAGUUGUAAUUUGGAGAGGAUGCUUUUGGCGCGGCGCCGUCCGAGUUCCUUGGAACAGGACGCCACAGAGGGUGAGAGCCCCGUACGGACGGACGCCUAGCCUCUACAAAGCUCYUUCGACGAGUCGAGUAGUUUGGGAAUGCUGCUCAAAAUGGGAGGUAAAUUUCUUCUAAAGCUAAAUACCGGCCAGAGACCGAUAGCGCACAAGUAGAGUGAUCGAAAGAUGAAAAGCACUUUGAAAAGAGGGUUAAAAAGUACGUGAAAUUGUUGAAAGGGAAGCGCCUGUGACCAGACUUGCGCCCCGUGGACCAUCCGGCGUUCUCGCCGGUGCACUCUGCGGGGCGCAGGCCAGCAUCGGUUCUCCUAGGGGGAUAAAGGCCGCGGGAACGUAGCUCCUUCGGGAGUGUUAUAGCCCGUGGUGGCAUGCCCCUGGGGGGACCGAGGACCGCGCUUCGGCAAGGAUGCUGGCGUAAUGGUCACCAGCGACCCGUCUUGAAACACGGACCAAGGAGUCAAGCAUUGGGGCGAGUGUAUGGGUGCCAAACCCGCACGCGAAAUGAAAGUAAACGCAGGUGAGAGCUUCGGCGCAUCAUCGACCGAUCCUGAUGUCUUCGGAUGGAUUUGAGUAAGAGCCUUACCGCUUGGACCCGAAAGAUGGUGAACUAUGCCUGAAUAGGGUGAAGCCAGAGGAAACUGUGGUGGAGGCUCGCAGCGGUUCU